CACGACAACUAUUGAUUACUAUUACAAACGUAUGGCCACUGUUUCAGUUUGAUGUUUGAAUCAUUAAUGUCGAUCGUGUAAAUAUCUAACCCCACGGACUACUUUUUUUACAACCUUUGUUGGUGUGUGACGUCCGAAGCAUGGUACGAAGUCAGGAAGGGCAAAUCAAUACAACCACGUCUUUCGAAACAUUGUCGACGUCAACGGCCGUCUGUCUACACUUCAGGGAAGUGCAACGUAAAUCGAAGAUGGUGAAGAUAUCAGACAGUGAUGAUCAGCCUGAGUCUUCCUCCAGCUUCUCAACCAUUUCAUCUCCUGUUGACCUCCCAACUCAUGGUACCCUGCUCCUCCACACUCCCAAAACAUUACAAGCCACCCAGGCAGCACAGAACCAACCGCUCAAACAAUAUUUCCAGUCAGAACUGUACUGCCAGUUCUCCUGUAAUGCUAGAGAGGUUCUGGAAAGAGUUGAGGCUGAGAGAAGGAGGAGGAGGGACAAAGAGCGCAUGGAGCCAUUGUUCAGACCUACAAAGUAUGUCAAACCACCAGUGUGGCCACCGGAGUCUCCUGUCAGCUCCAGAACUCGUCAACCUCUCAUCAGCCCUCACGGCUCACCUCCGCUGGUCAGACGGCCACUGGAACAGGCAACAAUGCCGGCUAAUCUGAACACAGAGGCAGUCCAGAUGCUUGUUGCCAAGCCUUUCAACACUAUUUGUAAAGGCAUUCAUGGUUAUGAUGACAAAUUUCCAAUUCUCAUGGUCAAGCCACCAAAAGACAAUGAUAGUCAGUCAUCAGAUGUACAGAAACUGGCAGUGAUGUCCAAACCAAAGAGAUAUGAGAGGAAAAGUAAGGGCCAUUUGAACAGUGGACCAAAGGCAUCUGAAGGAAAGCAAUGUGAAGAAAUUCAAGAGGUUUUGAACAAAACAGACUGCAACGACACUUUAGACUUUGGAUUUGCUGGCAAGAUGUCUCUUACAGAUCAGGCUCUGGAGUGUUUCCAGCUCCUUCCUGAUCGUGCCUUAACCCAGAUCUUCCUCCACCUGGACUCUCGCUCCUUGGGAGCAUUUAAGUGCUCAUGUCGAGACUUCAAGUAAGACUGUAAUCUUGAGAUGGUUGGUUGAAAUGUAUGAAGUCAGCAGGGCAGACGCCAAGUUGGACAGUGACCCUGCUGGAAAGGUGUGACAUUGUGGAGGUUUGCAGUACCCUUACAAGAAAUAUCACAGCAUAUAUAAACAUGUUGGACAUAUUUUGAGGCCUCAGACAUAGAUGUGCCUGGCAGCUAGGGGGGCUGCACGACAACAACUGCUUUCCAAGCCACAAGACACAGUUGCAAUUAUGACACAUGUGACAUUGCAAUAUCAAAGAACUACUUUUGCAAAUGUUGCCACGGAGAGAAUAAAUGUUGACUUUGUUUAACAACAGGA